rnacentral:rRNA from 1 species
AUUGAACGCUGGCGGCAUGCUUUACACAUGCAAGUCGAACGGUAACAGGCCGCAAGGUGCUGACGAGUGGCGAACGGGUGAGUAAUGCAUCGGAACGUGCCCAGUCGUGGGGGAUAACGCAGCGAAAGCUGCGCUAAUACCGCAUACGAUCUGUGGAUGAAAGCGGGGGACCGAAAGGCCUCGCGCGAUUGGAGCGGCCGAUGUCAGAUUAGGUAGUUGGUGGGGUAAAGGCCCACCAAGCCAGCGAUCUGUAGCUGGUCUGAGAGGACGACCAGCCACACUGGGACUGAGACACGGCCCAGACUCCUACGGGAGGCAGCAGUGGGGAAUUUUGGACAAUGGGCGCAAGCCUGAUCCAGCAAUGCCGCGUGCAGGAAGAAGGCCUUCGGGUUGUAAACUGCUUUUGUACGGAACGAAACGGCUCUGGUUAAUACCUGGGGCUAAUGACGGUACCGUAAGAAUAAGCACCGGCUAACUACGUGCCAGCCGCCGCCGUAAAAC